GAUGAACGCUGGCGGCAGGCUUAACACAUGCAAGUCGAGCGGGCAUCUUCGGGUGUCAGCGGCGGACGGGUGAGUAACGCGUGGGAACGUGCCUUCUGGUUCGGAAUAACUCAGGGAAACUUGAGCUAAUACCGGAUACGCCCUUUUGGGGAAAGGUUUACUGCCGGAAGAUCGGCCCGCGUCUGAUUAGCUAGUUGGUGGGGUAACGGCCUACCAAGGCGACGAUCAGUAGCUGGUCUGAGAGGAUGAUCAGCCACACUGGGACUGAGACACGGCCCAGACUCCUACGGGAGGCAGCAGUGGGGAAUAUUGGACAAUGGGGGCAACCCUGAUCCAGCCAUGCCGCGUGAGUGAUGAAGGCCUUAGGGUUGUAAAGCUCUUUUAUCCGGGACGAUAAUGACGGUACCGGAGGAAUAAGCCCCGGCUAACUUCGUGCCAGCCGCCGCGGUAA
rnacentral:rRNA from 1 species